UGUACGAUAGUGACAAAAUGUGAAUUGCGAUAUUGUUUAUGAAUAUUGCAAUAUCGAUAUUAAUUCUGAUAUUUCUUAAACAUAUGUACAAUUACAAAAGUUAGGGGAAAACGCAUCAAAAUAGAUUCCCAACAAUUAAAAUACAAAGUUUAUUUCA